AUUUAGCUGACAAGUCUUAAACAGAACGAAACGCAUGUCCUGGAU
rfam:Schistosoma rodhaini strain Burundi genome assembly, scaffold: SROB_scaffold0006973